rnacentral:lncRNA from 1 species
GGGGUGAGACACAGCUCUGUGUUUUUAAUCGCGCUGUGGGGUGCCGGAGGCCACCUGGACGGACGGAGCCCGGCCCAACGCCCUCCCAGCCUGGGUCUCCUUGGCUGCAGGUGGGCAAAAGUGACAGACCAGAACUACCCAGCCUUGGGCCAGUGCCAGCCUGUGCACCUGUCCCGGUGGCUUGGGGCACGCGACGCCUCUGGGCCCUGGGUCAGUCCCAGGAGAACUGGCCUCCCCUGACCCCUGCAUGGGGCUGGGCACUUGGCCUGGGAAAAGCCGGAGUCUGGAACAGCCUGGCCGUUGGCCUUGGCAGCCUCGCUUCCAGCUGGGACUGUCAUCUGUCUGGAAUUCAGAUGGAAAAACCUGCCCUUGUGAGUGAUGAGGGAAGGUGCCAGACAGCAUGGGUUGCACCAAGUGCUUUCCUAGGGGCAGAAAGGGGCCCGUGCACCACGCCACCUCCCGGGGCUGACCCUCCAGGUGGCCAGGAGCGCACCUGUGAUGCUGUGCAGGUUCAGGGC